AUACGGAGGAUCCGAGCGUUAUCCGGAUUUAUUGGGUUUAAAGGGUGCGCAGGCGGCCAUUUAAGUCAGCGGUUAAAUCGUGGGGCUCAACCCCAUUCUGCCGUUGAUACUGGGUGGCUUGAUUGCGGUCGAGGUUGGCGGAAUUCGUUGUGUAGCGGUGAAAUGCAUAGAUAUGACGAAGAACACCGAUUGCGUAGGCAGCUGACCAGACCGCAAAUGACGCUCAUGCACGAAAGUGCGGGGAUCGAACAGGAUAGAUACCCUGGUAGUCCGCACAGUAAACGAUGAAUACUUGUUUUCGGCGAUAUAAUGUCGGAGGCAAAGCGAAAGCGAUAAGUAUUCCACCUGGGGAGUACGCCGGCAACGGUGAAACUCAAAGGAAUUGACGGGG
rnacentral:rRNA from 1 species